rnacentral:rRNA from 1 species
UACGUAGGGUGCAAGCGUUGUCCGGAAUUAUUGGGCGUAAAGAGCUCGUAGGCGGUCUGUCGCGUCUGCUGUGAAAACUCGGGGCUUAACCCCGGGCCUGCAGUGGGUACGGGCAGACUAGAGUGCGGUAGGGGAGACUGGAAUUCCUGGUGUAGCGGUGAAGUGCGCAGAUAUCAGGAGGAACACCGGUGGCGAAGGCGGGAUCUCUGGGCCGUACCUGACGCUGAGGAGCGAAAGCUGGGGAGCGAACAGG